rnacentral:lncRNA from 1 species
GUUGGGGUUAUUUUGGGAUAAAAACGAAAAAGAAUGCGUCCGGAUAUUUUCCCGUCAUUGGACAAAACUUUAAGUCAGAUUAGACUUCCGGUUUAUGUUUUUUCUGUACUUUGAACAUACAAAGACUAUGAAUAAAGUAUAUAAAUUUUAUUUCUGCUGUCAUUUUGAGUUCUAGCAUGUAUCAUCCUUGCUUAACGUGUUUCAGUUUGGGUUAUUUUGGGAGGAAAACGAAAAUGAAUAAUAUUUGCUAUUUACUAUCAAUUAGUUUACAGUGGAUCCAGAACUUUUCAUAAGGGAGGGGGCACUGACUGACCUAAAAGGGGGGGGGCGUUCCUCUCAUGCUUCAGUGAUUCC